UACGGAGGGUGCAAACGUUGCUCGGAAUUACUGGGCGUAAAGGGCGCGUAGGCGGCCUGCUAAAGUCGGAUGUGAAAUCCCUCAGCUUAACUGGGGAACUGCGUCUGAUACUGGGAUGGCUUGGAUUCGGGAGAGGAAUGCGGAAUUCCAGGUGUAGCGUGAAAUGCGUAGAUAGUCUGGAGGAACACCGUGGCGAAGGCGGCAUUCUGGACCGAUAUUGACGCUGAGGAG
rnacentral:rRNA from 1 species